rnacentral:rRNA from 1 species
GGUGCCAGGAUUAAGCCAUGCAUGUCUAAGUACAAGCCGACUUAAGGCGAAACCGCGAAUGGCUCAUUAAAUCAGCUAUGAUUCAUUGGAUCUGUACCCACACUUACUUGGAUAACUGUGGUAAUUCUAGAGCUAAUACAUGCACCACGUCUCUGACCGCAAGGGAAGAGCGCUUUUAUUAGUUCAAAACCGGUCGGGCCUCGGUCCGUCACCCCACCGUGUUGAAUCUGAAUAACUUGUCGCUGAGCGCACGGUCUCUGCACCGGCGCCGCCUCUUUCAAGUGUCUGCCUUAUCAGCUUUCGAUUGUAGGUUAUACGCCUACAAUGGCUAUAACGGGUAACGGGGAAUCAGGGUUCGAUUCCGGAGAGGGAGCCUGAGAAACGGCUACCACAUCUAAGGAAGGCAGCAGGCACGCAAAUUACCCACUCCCGGCACGGGGAGGUAGUGACGAAAAAUAACGAUGCGAGACUCAUCCGAGGCCUCGCAAUCGGAAUGAGUACACUUUAAAUCCUUUAACGAGGAUCUAUUGGAGGGCAAGUCUGGUGCCAGCAGCCGCGGUAAUUCCAGCUCCAAUAGCGUAUAUUAAAGUUGUUGCGGUUAAAAAGCUCGUAGUUGGAUUUCAGUUCUGGACUGACGGUUCACCGCCCGGUGCACACUGUCACGCUCCGAACAGCCACAACAGCCCGCUGGCUCGCACGGGGUGCUCUUCAUCGAGUGUCCCGCGUGCCCGGCAGAGUUUACUUUGAAAAAAUUAGAGUGCUCAAAGCAGGCUACACUUACCGCCUGAAUGCCUAUGCAUGGAUAAUGGAAUAAGACCUCGGUUCUAUUUUGUCCGUUUUCUGAACCCGAGGUAAUGACUAUAGGAACAGGCGGGGGCAUUCGUAUUGCGACGCUGAAGUGAAAUUCUUGGACCGUCGCAAGACGAACUACUGCAAGGCAUUUUGCCAGGAAGGUUUUCAUUAAUCAGACGAGAAAG